rnacentral:rRNA from 1 species
GACGAACGCUGGCGGCGUGCUUAACACAUGCAAGUCGAACGGAAAGGCCCUGCUUUUGUGUGGUGCCCGAGUGGCGAACGGGUGAGUAACACGGGAGUAACCUGGCCUGGACUGUGGGAUAACUUCAGGAAACUGGGGCUAAUACCGGAUAGGAGCUCCUGCUGCAUGGUGGGGUUUGGAAAGUUUAGGCGGUUGGGGAUGGACUGGGGGCUUAUCAGCUUGUUGGUGGGGUAGUGGCUUACCAAGGCUUUGACGGCUAGCCGGCCUGGGAGGGUGACCGGCCACAUUGGGACUGAGAUAGGGCCCAGACUCCAACGGGGGGCAGCGGUGGGGAAUAUUGCACAAUGGGCGGAAGCGUGAUGCAGCAACGCCGCGUGCGGGAUGACGGCCUACGUGUGGUGAACCGCUUUCACCUGUGACGAAGCGUGAGUGACGGUAAUAGGUGAAGAAGCACCGGCUAACUACGUG